rnacentral:rRNA from 1 species
GGGGGGGGGGGGGGGGGGGGGGGGGGGGGGCGGGGCGGACGGGGGGGCGGUGCGUGCGGGGUGCGCGGGGGGCGGACGGGGGAGUAGCACGGGGGUGAUCUGCCCCUUACGUUGGGAUAGGCCUGGGAAACUGGGUCUAAUACUGGAUAGGACCAUGCUGUAGGUGGUGUGGUGGAAAGAUUAGUUUCGGUAAGGGAUGAGCUCGCGGCCUAGCAGCUUGUUGGUGGGGUAAUGGCCUACCAAGGCGUCGACGGGUAGCCGGCCUGAGAGGGUGGACGGCCACAUUGGGACUGAGAUACGGCCCAGACUCCUACGGGAGGCAGCAGUGGGGAAUAUUGCACAAUGGGCGCAAGCCUGAUGCAGCGACGCCGCGUGGGGGAUGACGGCCUUCGGGUUGUAAACUCCUUUCGGCCAUGACGAAGCCCUUGUGGUGACGGUAGUGGUAGAAGAAGCACCGGCUAACUACGUG